AGCGAACGUUAGCGGCGCGCCUAACACAUGCAAGUCGCACGAGAAAGGGCUUCGGCCCCGGUAAAGUGGCGCACGGGUGCGUAACACGUGGGCAAUCUACCCUAAGGCGGGGGAUAACGUCCCGAAAGGGACGCUAAUACCGCAUGAGACCACGGAUCCUUCGGGAACUGCGGUCAAAGCUGGCCUCUUCAUGAAAGCUAGCACCUUAGGACGAACCCGCGGCCCAUCAGCUAGUUGGUAGGGUAAUGGCCUACCAAGGCUAAGACGGGUAGCUGGUCUGAGAGGAUGAUCAGCCACACUGGAACUGAAACACGGUCCAGACUCCUACGGGAGGCAGCAGUGGGGAAUAUUGGACAAUGGGCGCAAGCCUGAUCCAGCGACGCCGCGUGAGUGAUGAAGGCCUUCGGGUUGUAAAGCUCUGUUGAGGGAGAAGAAAACGGCUGGCGUGAAUAACUCCAGUCCUUGACGGUAUCCCUUUAGAAAGCACCGGCUAACUCUGUGCCAGCCGCCGCCGUAACAC
rnacentral:rRNA from 1 species